rnacentral:rRNA from 1 species
GGAUUCCCCUAGUAACGGCGAGUGAAGCGGGAAGAGCUCAAAUUUAAAAUCUGGCAGUGUAUUCUGUCCGAGUUGUAGUCUAGAGAAGCAUCAUCCGUGCUGGACCAUGUACAAGUCUCUUGAACAGAGCGUCAUAGAGGGUGAGAAUCCCGUCCUUGACAUGGACUCCCAGUGCUUUGUGUUGUGCUCUCAACGAGUCGAGUUGUUUGGGAAUGCAGCUCAAAAUGGGUGGUAAAUUCCAUCUAAAGCUAAAUAUUGGCGAGAGACCGAUAGCGAACAAGUACCGUGAGGGAAAGAUGAAAAGCACUUUGGAGAGAGAGUUAAACAGUACGUGAAAUUGUUGAAAUGGAAACGCUUGAAAGUCAGUCGCGUUCUCUGGGAUUCAGCCUGGCUUCUGCCUGGUGCAUUUCCUAGUCUACGGGCCAGCAUGAAUUUCGACCGAUAGAAAAGGGCUUGAGGAAUGUGGCACCUUCGGGUGUGUUAUAGCCUCUUGUCGUAUGUGUCGGUUGGGAUUGAGGACCUCAGUGCACGCUUUUGUUGUGCUUUGAUGCUGGCGUAAUGGCUUUAAACGACC